rnacentral:rRNA from 1 species
CAAAAUGAGAGUUUGAUCCUGGCUCAGGACGAACGCUGGCGGCGUGCCUAAUACAUGCAAGUCGAGCGAGCAUAACCAGCAGAUUUACUUCGGUAAUGACGCUGGGGACGCGAGCGGCGGAUGGGUGAGUAACACGUGGGGAACCUGCCCCAUAGUCUGGGAUACCACUUGGAAACAGGUGCUAAUACCGGAUAAGAAAGCAGAUCGCAUGAUCAGCUUAUAAAAGGCGGCGUAAGCUGUCGCUAUGGGAUGGCCCCGCGGUGCAUUAGCUAGUUGGUAAGGUAACGGCUUACCAAGGCGAUGAUGCAUA